GUUGGCGACCAUAGCAAGUGUGAACCACCUGAUCCCUUCCCGAACUCAGAAGUGAAACCACUUAGCGCUGAUGGUAGUGUGGUGUUAACCAUGUGAGAGUAAGUCAUCGCCAACU
rnacentral:rRNA from 1 species